UGGAGCCAAACAGAGUACGGUGUAUACAAAAUUUUUUUCGUUAAUUUUCAUGGUCAAAAUGAGAGAUCAGGUGGCCGAUCUUAAAAUAAAUCAAUAUUGUUUUUGUUUUUUUUGUUUUUUUUUUUAUAGAGCGUUAAAGUUUUGCGAAGCCAGGGGGCGGGGCUACUUGAUUGAAAGUCCGGUCUGGAAUGAUUGACAGGUCCUAUGGAGGAGGCAGCAGAGACUCUGCUCUCCUCGUUUGGAUUAAUUCUGAUAUAAUAACUGUUGGUUUAUUUAUCGGUGCAGCAGCAGAACAUUUUCCACAGACAGUUUUUCUGCCCGUUGACUUGUUUUAACCAGUUUUCUCCCUUCGGCUGAUUCUACCAGCAGACACUGAAAGGACUCUGAUAGUUCGAGUGAAAGUAGCAGUUCCUCCUUAAGGUCAGAGAUUGCAGCAUCUGACGACCUCUUCAAAAGAAGACAUAGUUGAUGAAGGCGUUCUGGAGCAGGACCAGAAAGACCACGACCAAGCAGCCUUGAGAUCUUAGGCAGCGUCUCCAUGAGGUCCCUCUCUAUCUCCCCACAUAUCCACCAACCACUGGAACACAUCUCCAAAGUUCUGCUGGACCAGCUCAGCUUCCCCUCAGAAGAAGUACUGCCACCUGCCAGAUGAAGGAGCCUUUUGAGAGGCAGCUGGCAUCGUGAUUGGACUGUACUUUGGUCUGUUCCAAUCCAGCUUCAGCUCCAGAGACGGCAGGCGGAACGAGUCAACGGAGGCCGGGUGGACGAAGGCAUGCAGCUGAGUACAAUCCAGAAAACAACAGAGGAGGAGUGCAGCAGCCCAGAGCCAGAACAGAGUAGCAUCGUAUGUCUCUAAGAAAACAUCAUAGUAUAGCCUUUGGUAUGAAAAACACCAUCAUAUACAUCGUAUAUUGUACAAAUAACAAGUCAAAGGAAAGAGACAUACAUUGUAGAAUUGUAGUAAUUGUGGGCUGACUGAUUUACUGAUUAUCAUUAUUUUAUUUUUUACUGAUUUACGGUAAUAAAUACAUUUUAAAAUGG